GGGGAUUUAGCUCAGCGGCAUAAGCACCUGCCUUACAAGCAGGCAUUUGUGAGUUCAAUCCCUG
rnacentral:tRNA from 1 species